GGGAUAUCAGACCGGAAACGUUCGUUCUUUGCUCCAAGACGGUCAUGGCGAGCAGACUCGCCACCUAUUACUGCUUACUUUGACUUCCUUGUGAGUCGCUGCAUAGUCCCUUUUUUCAGAUACCAUGCCACCUCUGCAAAUGCAGAUGUCCAGUGUCUUCAUUGUGUGGCUCUGAAAGCUGUCAAGCUGUGGUCUCAAAGAUGCUCUUGAAAUGUGAUCCUUUAUCGGCUGUCCUGAGAAAAGGAAAGCUACGGUGGCAAUAUCUGGCCUACAUCUCUGAUUAAUCUCAUCUCUGGUUAUGAAGUCAGCUGAAUGGUCAGAUCUCAUUUAAAAGGUAAGUACUAAACCCAGCUCCUUGCUCCUGUCCAUUGACACUACAGCUGCUGACAUGUCAUUGCAAAUUUCAAUAUAGGAAUUAUAACUGCAUAAUUUUUCUGUAAUAAAGAUUGCAUCCUCA